UUAUGUAUUAUGGUUUUCCUAUACCAGUUAGCUGCCAUCCUACUGAGGAAAAAGACAUCAUUCUAAUGUACUGUAAUAAAUUCUGAUCAUGAAAUCAGCCUAUUAGGAAGCACCUCUUGGAGAUCAUGGAUAACAUGCUAGGAAAAUGCAUCCUUUUUUAGUGGGCUUAUCAAAAAUAGUGAUGACGUACAUCUUGCCAAACCUAUUGCAACCUCCCCUUAGAUGUUAAUAUUAUUGCUGGAAGUUGGACUUUUCAUAGAACGUGAGAGAUUAGAUAUUUUGUUUACUAUGAGAAAAAUGAACUCUUAUUUGGGAUGUAUAACAUGUACCAGAAAAUGUUUCUUCAGUGGCCAUCACAGUGCCUACAUGAUGCAGCAAUAUUUUCUCCUCAAAUGCUCUACUCUCAUUGGUAUGUUGACCUCUAGUUUCCUGAGUCUUCACUGCCGAGUCAUAUAA
rnacentral:lncRNA from 1 species